UACAGAGGGUGCGAGCGUUAAUCGGAAUUACUGGGCGUAAAGCGUGCGUAGACGGUAGCGUAAGUCAGAUGUGAAAUCCCCGGGCUCAACCUGGGAACUGCAUUUGUGACUGCAUGGCUAGAGUACGGUAGAGGGGGAUGGAAUUCCGCGUGUAGCAGUGAAAUGCGUAGAUAUGCGGAGGAACACCGAUGGCGAAGGCAAUCCCCUGGACCUGUACUGACGCUCAUGCACGAAAGCGUGGGGAGCAAACAGG
rnacentral:rRNA from 1 species